GACGAACGCUGGCGGCGUGCUUAACACAUGCAAGUCGAACGAAGUGGCGAACGGGUGAGUAACGCGUAAUCAACCUGCCCUUCAGAGGGGGACAACAGUUGGACACGACUGCUAAUACCGCAUACUGAAGGAGGGGAUUGCGUCUGAUUAGCUAGUUGGAGGGGUAACGGCCCACCAAGGCGAUGAUCAGUAGCCGGUCUGGGAGGAUGAACGGCCACAUUGGGACUGGGAAACGGCCCAGACUCCUACGGGAGGCAGCAGUGGGGAAUCUUCCGGAAUGGAAGAAAGUCUGACGGAGCAACGCCGCGGGAGGGAUGAAGGCCUUCGGGUUGGAAAGCUCUGUUAGUCGGGACGCGGUACCGGAAUAGAAAGCCACGGCUAACUACGUGCCAGCAGCCGCGGUAAUAC
rnacentral:rRNA from 1 species